rnacentral:rRNA from 1 species
AUGCCUGAGCUGCAGGAGCUUUGUGGGGAAUCAGCUAUGGUGCAGCCGAUGAAGCCGGGCUCAUUGGAGUCCUUGGCCUCACCAUCACCGUCAGAGUCCUGCCAGUCGCUCGCCUUUGUGGAUAGUGGAUGUUUGGAUGGUUCUGUCACUCUCUCAUCUAUGCCCAUUGGGCAUGAGGUGUCCUUGAGUGACGAGGUUGAUGAGACAGGUGUGUUGGCGCCUAACUCUGAUGCUCUAUCAUGUGAGCAACUGGAGAUGUCUGAGUCCAUCGUGUCGGUUGCUUCUGUGGUUGAUGAUGUUUAG